AACGGUCUAUACCUGCGGUACCUGCGGAGGGAUCAUUAAUGAGAAACUGCCCCUCGCGGGUAGAUCUCCCACCCUUUGUAAACUUACCUUUGUUGCUUUGGCAGGCCCGUCUCCGGACCGCCGGCUUCGGCUGGCCAGUGCCUGCCAGAGGAUUCUAAAACUCUGUCUGUCAGUGUUGUCUGAGUCUAUUUACAAUCGUUAAAACUUUUAACAACGGAUCUCUAGAUCGGAAGAGCACAC
rnacentral:misc_RNA from 1 species